rnacentral:rRNA from 1 species
UGUGGUUAAUUCGAUGCAACGCGAAAACCUUACCACCUUGACAUGUACGGAAGCCUUAGAGAUAGAGGCGUGCUCGAAAGAGAGCCGUAACACAGGUGCUGCAUGGCUGUCGUCAGCUCGUGUCGUGAGAUGUUGGGUUAAGUCCCGCAACGAGCGCAACCCUUGUCAUUAGUUGCUACAUUCAGUUGGGCACUCUAAUGAGACUGCCGGUGACAAGCCGGAGGAAGGUGGGGAUGACGUCAAGUCCUCAUGGCCCUUAUAGGUGGGGCUACACACGUCAUACAAUGGCUGGUACAAAGGGUUGCCAACCCGCGAGGGGGAGCUAAUCCCAUAAAGCCAGUCGUAGUCCGGAUCGUAGUCUGCAACUCGACUACGUGAAGUCGGAAUCGCUAGUAAUCGUGGAUCAGAAUGUCACGGUGAAUACGUUCCCGGGUCUU